rnacentral:sRNA from 2 species
UUUUAAUAAAAGCCGAAUCUUGCUCUUCUACAUGAGGAACAGGUACGGGGGACGAUAUGCUGUGGGGUGAAUUUGCAAUAUUGUGCAUUAGGGAAUACCUCUUCCCGAACCACUAACCUCGGAGGCUACGUACAGGAGGGAAUU